ACUAUUUUGGCAGAUAAAUGUGUUAAAUUUAGAAUUUGAUUAUAUAAUUUUAAUUAUAAAUAGUA
rnacentral:tRNA from 1 species